rnacentral:rRNA from 1 species
UACGUAGGGGGCGAGCGUUGUCCGGAUUUAUUGGGCGUAAAGAGCGUGUAGGCGGCCAGGUAGGUCUGCUGUGAAAACUCGAGGCUCAACCUCGAGACGUCGGCGGAAACCAUCUGGCUAGAGUCCGGAAGAGGAGAGUGGAAUUCCUGGUGUAGCGGUGAAAUGCGCAGAUAUCAGGAAGAACACCCGUGGCGAAGGCGGCGAGCUGGCCUGUUACUGACGCUGAGGCGCGGCAGCGUGGGGAGCAAACAGG